rnacentral:rRNA from 1 species
CGCCUUGCCAGCCCGCUCAGAACUUAAAGGAAUUGACGGGGGCCCGCACAAGCGGUGGAGCAUGUGGUUUAAUUCGAUGAUACGCGAGGAACUUACCUGGGCUCAAAUGUAUGUUGACGUAUUCUGGAAGGGAUACUUCUUCGGACAAUAUACAAGGUGCUGCAUGGUUGUCGUCAGCUCGUGCCGUGAGGUGUCGGGUUAAGUCCCAUAACGAGCGCAACCCCUAUCAUUAGUUGCCAUCAGGUCAAGCUGGGGACUCUAAUGAAACUGCCUACGCAAGUAGUGAGGAAGGUGGGGAUGACGUCAAAUCAGCACGGCCCUUACGUCCAGGGCUACACACGUGCUACAAUGGCCGGUACAAAGGGCAGCUACCUGGUGACAGGAUGCUAAUCUCAAAAGCCGGUCUCAGUUCGGAUCGGAGUCUGCAACCCGACUCCGUGAAGUUGGAUUCGCUAGUAAUCGCGCAUCAGCCAUGGCGCGGUGAAUACGUUCCCGGGCCUU